GCUUUACCUAACAGAACCAAAAUGCAUGCAUAUUCUACUAUGCAUAUUCAAAAAUGCAUGCAAGGGAUACUCAUGGUCAUCCAUGGACAUUUUCUAGAAUAUUCAUUACAGUGUCAUUCAUCACUGCUUCAAAAUGGUCGCUCUCAGAUACUGGUCAACAACAACAACAACAAAAACAAACAUAAAACAACAACUGAAUUGGGUGCAAUGGCACAUUCCUUUAAUCUUAGCACUUGGGAGGCAGAAGCAAGAAGAUCUCUGAGAGUUUGAGACCAGCCUGAUCUACGUAGACAAUUCCAAGAUAACCAGGGUUAUAUAGAGAGCCUGUCUCAAACAACAAAUUGACUUAGAUUCUCAGAAGGGCAAACCCUAUGUCAGUGGGAGUGGGUUAUACCAAACGAACCUCUGGUAACAGUAUUGCAGACAUCACCAACAGAAUGUUGAAGAACAAUGUGCUAAGCGCCUUUAAUCCCAGCACUUGGGAGGCAGAGACAGAUGGAUUUCUAAGGUUGAGGCCAGCCUGGUCUUCGGAGUGAGUUCCAGGACAGCCAGGGCUAUACAGAGAAACUCUGUCUGAAAACACCACACACACACACACACACACACACACACACACACACACACCAAAAGAGAGAGUAAGGUUAUUGGUCCUCCCUGGUGAUGGGGAAAUAGGGUUUCUUGAUGUAGCUGUUGGUCCUCAUGUAAGUGGGUUCAUUUUGUAAAACCUCAUUAAGUUGUGCAACUCUAAACAAUGCACUCCCAGUGUUUGUGCUUUAUGGCAGCAGGGGUCAGGUUGUCUAGAAGCAGACUGAGAUAAGCAUCUUUGCGCAUGGUCAUUGGGGCAGGUGCUCUUGAGAAUACUCUCUAGAGAGAUGGAAGACUUGGGUGUAGAAGAGGCCAGAGGAGCUACACGACAAAGGCCUCAGACCAUUGUCCCAGGAGAUCUUCAGGUGAGAUGGUUCUAUAAGGUCAUCUUAGAGUGUGCUUUACACAUUCGCUUUUCAGCAGUAAAGUCUCUGAUUCUUUGCUAUUCCUGUCAAAUUAAUCAGUCAUUUCUUUUAAGUGGUGCUGCUGUAGGGAAGGAAACCUGACCUUGAUUGUGGUGUUUUUCUUCAGCAUAGGAGAGUGGACUAACCAGAAAGAGGCUCAGCCUGGAGCCACAGGUACCCCCAGGAGAGGGGCCAUAGCCACUGCUCUAUGCUUUAACAGGAAAUAUAAAAACAAAGAUUCUGCCAGGCAGUGGUAGCACACACCUUUAAUCCCAGCAUUUGGGAGGCAGAGGAAGGCAGAUUUCUGAUUUUGAGGCCAGCCUGGUCUACAGAGUGAGUUCCAGGACAGCCAGGGCUAUACAGAAAAACAAAACAAAACAAAAAAAGAAAAGAAAACAAAAAACAAAAAAAAAGGAAAACAAAACAAACAAACAAACAAAAAAACAAACAAAGAUUCUGAUUUGAAUCAUGAAAGAGAGAAGAAGCCUUAGAAAGGACAAAGGAACAAGAUAGGACAUGCAGUGUGCACUCUGCCACAGACUGCCAUGCAAUGAGUACAUCUACUGCUGGGACCUUGUCUUGUUUUCCUAACGCCCGGCAGAAGCACACAGCCACAUCUCUGCGUUGUGUUAGCAACUUAUUGCACAUCAAAUACAAACAGUUAGGUGUUUGUUCUUAGCUCUUAGAAAUGUUUCUGCCCUUGGCUCAGCCUAACCUGAUAAACGAUACCUAUUAGAGGCCCAUUAUGGAAUUUCUUAUACCUAUUCUGGAACCCCAAAGUAUGCUUAGUGCUUUCAGCUUUAAUAUUUCCAAAGAGUGGCGCCUGCCACCGACCGCUCCUUUGUUCACUGCUGUGGGGGGGAAUAAGGCUUAUCUGCUCCAACAGGGCUGAGACAGUUGGUUGUUUAUAAGAGCUAAGUCUGCUGUUUUCUGGAAGGCGCAGCUGUUGGCCAGAGGCUCUCUUUAGCAAACACAGCACUCGCAGUAGGAGCAAGGGUCUAAUUGCAAAAUAUAGGUGCCCAGGCUCCCCUCUCUGCCCCUGGGCUGAACUGCCUCUCCAAGGAAGGGGCGGGGUUUGCCCUUACUCAGCCCUCACGUUCACUCUUACUCCUUCCCUUUUUCUUUGAAGGGAAUGCUGUACAGCGGGAAAGAAGUUGCUCCAAAGGAAGAACAUUGAUUCAGGGCGAAAAGUAGCCUCUCCUUCCAUCCCAGGCGCCAUCAUAAAUGCUCACGAGUUCCAACAGAGCGGCUGGAGCAGGAGCCGGUGGAGACGGAACCAGGAGCUUGGCCAAGGGAAGCUCGUUUCUGGCAAAUCUCCCGCCCUUCGCAAACAAUUUUCUUUGGACGCCUUUCUUUCCUUCCUGUUCCCUAACCCCUAUUUAAACCUGAAGGUGCCCCAUGCCUUCACAGCUCUAGCCGUAUGUGAGCAGGACUAGGCUGAGUGGGGCAAGAAGCACAGAACCAGAUCUGUCAUCCUACGUCACCACCUGCGAGCUGCUUUGUGGCUUAUGGAGCCGGUCUUGGGAUGAUUGUUUCCAGAAGAGCAUUCUGUCUAGGUGACGAAAGGACCCAGAAGCCUGGGGAAAGCAGAGUGGUACUUGGGGUGUCACUUGAUGGACAAUCACAUUAUGUUGAGACCCUGUGUUCAAUCUGUAGUACCUACGUCCCUGUCCAAAGAAAAGAGAGCUGCAGAUCUACAGCAGUCAUUGAUAUGUUUCGUAAAAUGAGCGAGUCCUU
rnacentral:lncRNA from 1 species